UGGGGAAUUUUCCGCAAUGGGCGAAAGCCUGACGGAGCAAUACCGCGUGAGGGAGGAAGGCUCUUGGGUCGUAAACCUCUUUUCUCAGGGAAGAACACAAUGACGGUACCUGAGGAAUAAGCAUCGGCUAACUCCGUGCCAGCAGCCGCGGUAAUACGGAGGAUGCAAGCGUUAUCCGGAAUGAUUGGGCGUAAAGGGUCCGCAGGUGGUACUGUAAGUCUGCUGUUAAAGAGCAAGGCUCAACCUUGUGAAAGCGGUGGAAACUACAGAACUAGAGUGCGUUCGGGGCAGAAGGAAUUCUUGGUGUAGCGGUGAAAUGCGUAGAUAUCAGGAAGAACACCAGUGGCGAAAGCGUUCUGCUAGGCCGCAACUGAC
rnacentral:rRNA from 1 species